AUGGCAGCCGCUGCCUCAAGCCCCGGACGCGCCGCCCUCCCCGCUGCGGUCUUCGCGUUCCUCCUGCUCCUCCUCGCCGCCGCACCCCCCGCCGUAGGCGGUGGCGGCGGGUCCGCGGCCGUGAAUGGCGACCGCCUCCGCGCGGAGCAGAUCCGGAAGCAGGCCUCGGACGCGGCCGCCUCCGCCGCCGCGCUCGCCGCGGCCUCCCGCCGCCUCCACCUCGACCGCGCGCGCCACCUCCGCCUCCUCUCCUCCCUCCACCGCAACCUCACCGCCACGCUCCGGGACCUAGGCGCCGCCGCCUCCGCGUCCGAGCCGGCGUCCCAGAGCGACCAGGCGCGCCGGCUCGAGCUCCAGGCGAAGGACCUGAUCCGCGCCGCCCGCGCCGCCAUCGCCGACGCCAAGCCGCUCUUCGACCCGCAGCUCAAAAUCCAGCGCCUCAAGGACGCAAUCUUCGCGCAGAACGAGCUGCUCGCGCGCGCCAAGAAGCGCGGCGCCUUCGCCUCGCUCAUCGCCGCCAAAUCCAUACCCAAGCCGCUCCACUGCCUCGCUGUCCGCCUCACCGCCGAGCGGAUCGCGCUGCCUGACAAGUUCGCGGACCCGGUGCCGCCGCCUGCGGCGCUGGAGGACCCCGUGCUGUUCCACUACGCCAUCUUCUCGGACAACGUGCUCGCCGCCUCUGUCGUCGUCCGCUCCUGCGUAGCCAACUCGUUGGACCCCUCAAAGCACGUCUUCCAUGUGGUGACCGACCGAAUGAACCUCGGGGCGAUGCAGGUGAUAAUCCGCCUAAUGGACUUACAAGGUGCACACUAUGAGGUCAAAGCAUAUGAAGAUUACAAAUUUCUUAACUCCUCCUAUGUUCCUGUGCUCCGGCAACUGGAGUCAGCAAACCUCCAAAAAUUCUAUUUCGAGAAUAAGCUUGAGAAUGCCACCAAAGACGCUAGCAAUAUGAAGUUCAGGAAUCCCAAGUAUCUUUCUAUGCUUAAUCACUUGCGAUUCUACUUGCCUGAGAUGUACCCCAAGCUGCAAAAGAUUCUUUUCUUGGAUGAUGAUGUCGUGGUACAGCGGGAUCUUACAGGAUUGUGGAAGAUUGACAUGGAUGGGAAGGUGAAUGGAGCAGUAGAAACAUGCUUUGGGUCAUUUCAUCGUUAUUGGCAGUAUAUGAACUUCUCGCACCCCCUUAUCAAAGCAAAGUUCAAUCCUAAUGCAUGUGGCUGGGCUUAUGGCAUGAACUUCUUUGAUCUUAAUUCUUGGAGGAGGGAGAAAUCUACCGAGCAGUACCAUUACUGGCAGACUCAGAAUGAGAACCGGUUAUUAUGGAAGUUGGGAACAUUGCCCCCAGGUUUAAUCACAUUCUACUCGACGACAAAGCCUCUUGACAAAUCUUGGCAUGUCCUUGGGCUCGGGUAUAAUCCAAGCAUCAGCAUGGAGGAGAUUAGAAACGCUGCUGUUGUGCAUUUCAAUGGUAACAUGAAGCCUUGGCUGGAUAUUGGUAUGAAUCAGUUCAGGCAGCUUUGGACGAAAUAUGUGGAUUACGACGACUCGUUCAUUCGUCAGUGCAAUUUUGCACCACCAUAG
rnacentral:rRNA from 1 species